GCCGGUUAAAAUGUUGCCACGUAUAUAACGACACUUAUGCCAAGUGUUGAUAAAAUUUGUUUUGACGCACUACAACAGAAUUAGGUUAUAGGAACACAUGUUUGGGACACUUUUGAGUAAGUGUCCCAUUUAUUCUAAAACUUAAAAAAACAUCUACUAAUGCCUAAAUAUAAAGCCCAAUCCAACCAAAAAUAAAAGAUUACUCUACUCAACCCACCACACCGAGUCCAUUUGGCCCGAUUACAAACGGAAAAGAAAAAAAAAAAGAAAAAUCAAUUGCCAUCUUUUCUUCUCUCUUCACUCAAUCCACUGAAAUUCUAGACGAAGAGCCUUUCCUGUCGUCCUCCUCCGCCACCGCAGCCAACGAGAUAGAGUUUCGGCGGUUGCUAAAUACUUAAAUAAGUGUUGGUAAAUUAGCAGCACUCUUUUAGGUUAUAGCGACAUUCUUUAACUGUCACUAUAUAUUUAGCGACCCCACAUAUAGCAACACUUUUUAAAAGUGUCGGUAAUUUUAGAUAGUAGCACUUUUUUGACAUGUACCUACAUUUAAAAGUGUCGCUAUAGACCUUUUUUGUUGUAGUGACGCUUUAAAGCAUCAUAAUUUAUAAGGGCUUUUUGAAAUCCUAAUACUUUAAAAUGUCAAAAAUUAAAAAUAACAAUGAAGUUUAUCAUCUAAUAAGUUUAUUUGUUAUAAUAGAGGAUUUAUAUGACGAUACUUUUUGAAAUGUCGAUAUUUGCUAUAUUGUAGGGAGCUUGAAGAUGCUUUUUCAGGUGUUAUUUAAAAAGCAU
rnacentral:lncRNA from 1 species